GAGAGCUAGUCUCCUAUACUAUCUAUAGUACCGAGGUUCCGGUACUAUAGUCUCGUUUUCGAUCUUAGGGUGUUCAAAUCAACGAUCCACACCGUUAAAACUGAUAUAGGGUAUUUAAAGUUUUUAGAAAUAAAAUUUUAUAUUUUUUUGACAUAGUUUACUUUAUGAUCAAACGAUUUCAAAAUUGUCAAUUUUCAAUGGCUACUAUGAUGAGUUUGGAGUUUAACGGUGUAAAAGAAUCUAAAUUUCUUCAAAUUUUGAUAGAAAAUACUUUAAACUAUCUAGAUUAAGGUUAACAUUCUUGAUCUUGAAUUUAAAAGUCCUAUGCUCAAAUUUUAAAGAUUAUUCAAUUUUCACCGUUCAUUUUGAUAUAAUUUAUUUACUAAGUAAACGAUGUCGAAUAAAACUAAAAUUUUAUUCCUAAGAACAUCAUAUACUCAAGAUCAUAUUUAACAGUGUGGAUGAUCGGAUCCUUCAAUUU
rnacentral:lncRNA from 1 species